AGAGUUUGAUCCUGGCUCAGGAUGAACGCUAGCGGCAGGCUUAACACAUGCAAGUCGAGGGGCAGCGCAGGUAGCAAUACUGGGCGGCGACCGGCAAACGGGUGCGGAACACGUACACAAUCUACCUUUAUCUGGGGCAUAGCCCGAAGAAAUUCGGAUUAACUCCCCAUAAGAUAUUGAUAUGGCAUCAUAUAGAUAUUAAAUCCUCCGGAGGAUAGAGAUGAGUGUGCGUCCCAUUAGCUAGUUGGUAGGGUAACGGCCUACCAAGGCGACGAUGGGUAGCUGGUGUGAGAGCACGACCAGCCACACGGGCACUGAGACACGGGCCCGACUCCUACGGGAGGCAGCAGUGAGGAAUAUUGGUCAAUGGACGCAAGUCUGAACCAGCCAUGCCGCGUGAAGGAUGAAGGCCUUCUGGGUUGUAAACUUCUUUUAUGUGGG
rnacentral:rRNA from 1 species